rnacentral:lncRNA from 1 species
AUGCAGGAUUGUUACAUAGGUACAUACAUGGCAAUGUGGUUUGCUCCCUCCAUCCUCGUCACCUAUAUCUGGCAUUUAUCCCCAUGUUACGUUCCCCAACUCCCUCCCUCCAUCCCUCCCCUAGUCCCCCACAAGAGACCCCAAUGUGUGAUGCUCCCCUCCCUGUGUCCAUGUGUUCUCAUCGUUCAACACCCGCCUAUGAGUGAGAAUAUGUGGUGUUUGAUUUUCUGUUCUUAUUUUUCUUUUCUCUUUUUUUUUUUUUGAGACGGAGUUUCGCUCUUGUUACCCAGGCUGGAGUGCAAUGGCGCGAUCUCGGCUCACCGCAACCUCCGCCUCCUGGGUUCAGGCAAUUCUCCUGCCUCAGCCUCCUGAGUAGCUGGGAUUACAGGCACGCGCCACUAUACCCAGCUAAUUCUUUAUAUUUUUAGUAGAGACGGGGUUUCACCAUGUUGACCAGGAUGGUCUUGAUCUCUUGACCUCCUGAUCCACCCGCCUCGGCCUCCCAAAGUGUAUCCAAAAUAUCUAGCCGCGCUGCUCUGUCAUCUAUCACACACUGAUUUGUGUAAGAAUCUUCAGUGGUUGGAUCAUAAUCUGUUACAAAAUAGGACUGGAUGAACCGGAUGGUGAGCGCCAACUUGCCACCGCCGACCACAGCGAGCCGGUACUUCUCUUGGCCGGAGCCAUCCCGCCAGCCAGCCGCAGCCAUGGGGAUACCACAGAGCCCAGCCUGAUCGCGCCAAGCCGCCGCUGCCGCCCGCCCUAGGCCCGGCUCCGGGGAUGUCAUGGGUAGCGGGAAGUGUCCUGAGGGCAGGUCCGCGUGGUGGCGUGGCACCAGGGGCUGGCUGGGUGCCUCCUGAGGCGCGGAGAAGUGGGGUGACGGCACGGGCCAGUGGCGGCAGCAGCUGGGGAGCGAGCUCCUCUACGGGUCUCCGCAGCGCUCCUAGUCCUCUAUCUAACUGAAGUUUUGUAUCCUUUGACCAACACUUCCCCUCUUCUGCAGUCCUAGGCUCUGGCGACCACCACUGUGCUUUCUGGCAGAGAGCUUUUCCACAUCAGGACAUUUUUUUUGAGACUGAGUCUCACUCUGUAGCCAGGCUGGAGUUUAGUGGCACGAUCUUGGCUCACUACAACCUCCGCUUCCUGGGUUCAAGCGACUCCCCUGCCUCAGCCUCCCAAGUAGCUUGUAUUACAGGCACCUGCCACUACACCCAGCAAUAGGGACAGGGUUUCGCCAUAUUGGCCAGGGUGGUCUCGAACUGCUGACCUCAUGAUCUGCCCACUUUGGCCUCCCAAAGUGCUGGGAUUACAGUCAUGAGCCACUGCGCCCAGCCAAGGACAUUCUCUGACCUUAUAGUGUGUGGUAACAGCCCACUGGCCAUCAUCUUUCUGCGGCCAUGAAUUUCUUUUCCCCAUUGACUGUGACUGUGUUUCAGUAGCCUGAGUCUUCCCCUGCACCUCCAUAAUGAUGUGCUUGUGGUAUCUCUGGACCGUAGCCAAACGAAGGCAGAAAGAGAGAAUCAGUGAGCUUAAAAUAAGAAUCCACAGGGUCUCUGAUUCUUUUACUCGAAUGACCAGUUUAUCCUAUCAGUGACACCUCCUUUGGGCCACGUCCACUGAAAAUGCACAACAGUUCACAUUCUUUCAUUGUUGGUCAAGAGGUGUGCCCUGUCUGUAUAAGUGGAGAGUUGAACAGCGAACAGUAGUGUCUCCUUGGCUUAGCCCUGUGUGCAGCAUGACAGCAGGACGUGCUGCCAUUGAGUCUUAGCCAUGAACUCUGAUGCUUGCUAACUCAGGCCUUCCACUCAUGGCUGUUGCUUGGGUGCUGAUCUGGCCCAUCCACAUGAGUGGGUGUGUGGGACUAAAGUUUGUGCAAGUUGAGGGAGGUGGCUGUGGAUAUCCUCGAAGGUUAAGGAAUUUUCUACCAUAAGACAUUGUUUUCCCUUCUAUCCUUGUUAAGAGGAGGGCGUGUAUGUGGAGAACAAAGCUGGAAAAAAAGGCGGUGUCUCCACAGAUGGACUUCCAAGGCCAGGGUUCUAUCCAAGCUGACUCAGCAGAGGUGUUGGUAUGCUUGGGAAUUAAUGCUAGGCUGCCUGUCUGAUAUUCAUACGUGGGUUUUGUUUUUCCUGCUCCACUGAAAAGUGACACAUUUUGAUGAGUUUUAGGCUUAUACACAGGUCCUGGUUCUAGGGGGAAGGAGGUGGUAGGGUAGGGGGUGCCCCCUUUUUGAAGCCAGAGCACCAGAGCCCUUGGCUGGCCUGCAUUGCUGUCCUGGACCCACCCCAUGUCCCACAGGUAUGUGCAUGUAUAUUGUGCUUCACACACACACACACACACACAGCUCAAGGAAAGUGUGGUGUUCUUUUGCAUAAUUAAAAGUUACGUAUGUUAAUUAUUGGCCUCUGGGAAAUCAUCUUCCUGGGGCCAUGGCCCUCUUACUUUCUUAUGGUAACAAGCAUCAGUUAAUUCCAAGACUUCACCCAUUCUCCAUCCAGAUGCUUGUGACCUGGGACUCCUUAUUUCCAAGUCUGACUUCUCUCCCCAGUUCCAGCCCCACAUGUUCACCCACAUAAUGAGCCUCUCCAAGCGGAUGAUUUGAAGGCACCUCUCACUGAGUGCGUCUACAUGAAUUCAGCCAGCUGCCAGCCUAAACUCCCUCCAUUGCUAUUUUGUGGGAAUUUUCAUGUCUAGUUCAGAGUUUAUCCUAAUUACAGGAAAACAGUAAGGUGCCAAAUAAGAAGCCAAUAAUUAAAAAUGACUUCAGCAGAAACCAAGCCAGGCCAGCCACGGUGGUUCACUCCUGUAAUCCCGGCACUUCAGGAAGCCAAGGCAGGCAGAUCACUUGAGGUCAAAAGAUGGAGACCAGCCUGGCCAACUUGGUGAAACCCUCUCUCUACUGAAAAUACAAAAAUUAGCCGGGUGUGGUGCCAUGUGCCUGUAAUCCCAGCUACUAGGAAGGCUGAUGCAGGAGAAUUGCUUGAACUUGGGAGAUGGAAGUUUCAGUGAGCCGAGAUCACACCAUUGCACUCGAACCUGGGCGACAGUGAGACUCCAUGAAAAAAAAUAAAGGAAGAGAGGGAGGAAGGGAUGGAGGGAGGGAGAAAGGGAGGGAGAGAGGAGGAAGGAAGGAAGGAAGGAAGGAAGGAAGGAAGGAAGGAAGGAAGGAAGGAAGGAUUGAUUCUUCCUCCAGUGAGGAUGGAUGGUAAGGAAGAUGUGGCAAAAACUUCUAUUUGAUUAACCUGAACACGCCCAACACCAGUAUUUGAUGUCAUAAAAAUCUGAGUCAGCAGAACUUCGGAAAUAGCGGCCUUUGCCAUGGCUACCUCUAAGGCCAGGAUGACAUAAGGCAGCCAGAGGCAGAGAAGACAAUGGCUCUGGGUAGAAGGAAGGAAGUUCUAUUUUCUAGAAAAUAUAACUUUCCAGGAAGGAAG